CCCAGACAGCCAGGAUGUUGGCUUAGAAGCAGCCAUCAUUUAAAGAAAGCGUAAUAGCUCACUGGUCGAGUCGGCCUGCGCGGAAGAUGUAACGGGGCUAAACCAUGCACCGAAGCUGCGGCAGCGACACUAUGUGUUGUUGGGUAGGGGAGCGUUCUGUAAGCCUGUGAAGGUGUGCUGUGAGGCAUGCUGGAGGUAUCAGAAGUGCGAAUGCUGACAUAAGUAACGAUAAAGCGGGUGAAAAGCCCGCUCGCCGGAAGACCAAGGGUUCCUGUCCAACGUUAAUCGGGGCAGGGUGAGUCGACCCCUAAGGC
rnacentral:rRNA from 1 species